rnacentral:rRNA from 1 species
UGCAAGUCGAACGGGAAGCGGCGCUUAUCACUUCGGUGGUGUAGCGCUGUGGAGAGUGGCGAACGGGUGCGUAACACGUAGGUAACCUGCCCUGAAAGGGGGGAUAACCACGGGAAACUGUGGCUAAUACCGCAUAAUGUCGCCGUGACGGUGGUUGCGGUGAGGAAAGUUCAGGCGAUUUGGGAGGGGCCUGCGGUCGAUUAGCUGGUUGGUGGGGUAAAGGCCCACCAAGGCGAUGAUCGAUAGCUGUUCUGAGAGGAAGACCAGCCACACGGGAACUGAGACACGGUUCCGACUCCUACGGGGGGCAGCAGUGAGGAAUAUUGCGCAAUGGGGGGAACCCUGACGCAGCAACGCCGCGUGGAGGACGAAGGUUUUCGGAUUGUAAACUCCUUAACUGGGGGAAGAGAGAGGACGGUACCCCAGGACGAAGACACGGCUAACUAGGUGCCAGCAGCCGCGGUAAUACCUAGGUGUCGAGCGUUAUCCGGAAUUACUGGGCGUAAAGGGUGCGCAGGCGGCGAUACAAGUCUGGCGUGAAAGCUUCUGGCUUAACUGGGAGAGGACGUUAGAAACUGUAUGGCUAGAGUGAAUGAGAGGGGGGCGGAAAUCCCGGUGUAGUGGUGGAAUGCGUAGAUAUCGGGAAGAACACCAGAGGCGAAGGCGGCCUCCUGGCAUUUUACUGACGCUGAGGCACGAAAGCGUGGGUAGCGAACGGGAUUAGAUACCCCGGUAGUCCACGCUGUAAACGAUGUGAACGAGGUGUGGGCGGUGUAGAAGCCGUCUGUGCCGGAGCAAACGCGAUAAGUUCACCGCCUGGGGAGUACGGUCGCAAGGCUAAAACUCAAAGGAAUUGACGGGGGGCCCGCACAAGCAGCGGAGCGUGUGGUUUAAUUCGAUGCAACGCGAAGAACCUUACCUGGGCUUGACAUGUACGUAGUAGUGAAGGGAAACCGGAACGAGCCU